rnacentral:rRNA from 1 species
UUCCAGACUCCUACGGGAGGCAGCAGUGGGGAAUAUUGCACAAUGGGGGAAACCCUGAUGCAGCGACGCCGCGUGAGUGAAGAAGUAUCUCGGUAUGUAAAGCUCUCUCAGCAGGGAAGAAAAUGACGGUACCUGACUAAGAAGCCCCGGCUAACUACGUGCCAGCAGCCGCGGUAAUACGUAGGGGGCAAGCGUUAUCCGGAUUCACUGGGCGUAAAGGGAGCGCAGGCGGCACGGCAAGUCUGGUGUGAAAGCCCGGGGCCCAACCCCGGGACUGCAUUGGGAACUGGCGCGCUGGAGUGCCGGAGGGGUAGGCGGAAUUCCUAGUGUAGCGGUGAAAUGCGUAGAUAUUAGGAGGAACACCAGUGGCGAAGGCGGCCUACUGGACGGUGACUGACGCUGAGGCUCGAAAGCGUGGGGAGCAAACAGGAUUAGAUACCCUCGUA